rnacentral:lncRNA from 1 species
GGGCGGCCCACUACCAGGUGGUUACACACGUCGCCAUCAGUCCGUUGCCUCCCCCGCCUAUAAAAGGGGGGACUCAGAUACGUUAUUUUUUAAGCUCUUUUGCCUUAUCUCAAAACUCUGCUAAAUUCUCCGUUCGAGCACUCCAUUCUUGUUGAGGCAGAGAACUGACUUGAGCGUCGGAGGGUCUUGCCAGAGCAACCCCACCUCCGGUUUAGACUUCCCUUGCAGGUCCCGGCGGCAACCGCGGCUUCCUCAACUCCAGCUUCUCCGGCGUAGGCUGAUUUUUGCACCAAC